UGGGGAAUAUUGCGCAAUGGGGGGAACCCUGACGCAGCCAUGCCGCGUGAAUGAAGAAGGCCUUCGGGUUGUAAAGUUCUUUCGGUAUUGAGGAAGGUUGAUGUGUUAAUAGCACAUCAAAUUGACGUUAAAUACAGAAGAAGCACCGGCUAACUCCGUGCCAGCAGCCGCGGUAAUACGGAGGGUGCGAGCGUUAAUCGGAAUAACUGGGCGUAAAGGGCACGCAGGCGGUUAUUUAAGUGAGGUGUGAAAGCCCCGGGCUUAACCUGGGAAUUGCAUUUCAGACUGGGUAACUAGAGUACUUUAGGGAGGGGUAGAAUUCCACGUGUAGCGGUGAAAUGCGUAGAGAUGUGGAGGAAUACCGAAGGCGAAGGCAGCCCCUUGGGAAUGUACUGACGCUCAUGUGCGAAAGCGUGGGGAGCAAACAGGAUUAGAUACCCUGGUAGUCCACGCUGUAAACGCUGUCGAUUUGGGGGUUGGGAUUUAACUCUGGCGCCCGUAGCUAACGUGAUAAAUCGACCGCCUGGGGAGUACGGCCGCAAGGUUA
rnacentral:rRNA from 1 species